ACGGGUGAGUAACACGUAGGUAACCUGCCUAUGAGACUGGGAUAACUAUCGGAAACGAUAGCUAAGACCGGAUAACUGGUUUUCUCGCAUGAGAGAAUCAUGAAACACGGAGCAAUCUGUGGCUUAUAGAUGGGCCUGCGGCGCAUUAGCUAGUUGGUAGGGUAAUGGCCUACCAAGGCGACGAUGCGUAGCCGACCUGAGAGGGUGAACGGCCACACUGGGACUGAGACACGGCCCAGACUCCUACGGGAGGCAGCAGUAGGGAAUCUUCCGCAAUGGACGCAAGUCUGACGGAGCAACGCCGCGUGAGUGAUGAAGGUUUUCGGAUCGUAAAGCUCUGUUGCCCUAGACGAACAGCAAGGAGAGUAACUGCUCUUUGUGUGACGGUAUAGGAGAAGAAAGCCCCGGCUAACUACGUGCCAGCAGCCGCGGUAAUACGUAGGGGGCAAGCGUUGUCCGGAAUUAUUGGGCGUAAAGCGCGCGCAGGCGGUCAAUUAAGUUGGGUGUUUAAGCCCGGGGCUCAACCCCGGUUCGCAUCCAAAACAGGUUGACUUGAGUGUAGGAGAGGAAAGUGGAAUUCCACGUGUA
rnacentral:rRNA from 1 species